rnacentral:rRNA from 1 species
UACGUAGGGUGCGAGCGUUAAUCGGAAUUACUGGGCGUAAAGCGUGCGCAGGCGGUUCGCUGUGUCCUGUGUGAAAGCCCCGGGCUUAACCUGGGAAUGGCAUGGGAAACUGGCGGGCCGGAGUGUGGCAGAGGGGGGUGGAAUUCCGCGUGUAGCAGUGAAAUGCGUAGAGGUGCGGAGGAACACCGAUGGCGAAGGCAGCCCCCUGGGCUAACACUGACGCUCAGGCACGAAAGCGUGGGGAGCAAACAGG